CCCUUAGAUGUUCUGGGCUGCACGCGUGCUACUAUGGCGCUUGCAACAAGUCUUGCCAACCCGAUAGGGUGAGCGGAUCUUUGAAGAGGCGUCGUGAUCGGGACAGUUGAUUGCAAUUAUUCGACUCGAACGAGGAAUUCCUUGUAAUCGCGAUUCAUCAUAUCGCGCUGAAUACGUCCCUGCCCUUUGUACACACCGCCCGUCGCUCCUACCGAUUGAGCGAUCCGGUGAAUGUUUUGGACUGGCGUCAGAAGCGGUUCGCUCCUGGCACUACGAAAUUUUGUAAACCUUAUCGCUUAGAGGAAGGAAAAGUCGUAACA
rnacentral:rRNA from 1 species